rnacentral:rRNA from 1 species
GCGGGGCGGGUGCUAUACAUGCAGUCGAGCGAACAGACGAGGAGCUUGCUCCUUUGACGUUAGCGGCGGACGGGUGAGUAACACGUGGGUAACCUACCUAUAAGACUGGGAUAACUUCGGGAAACCGGAGCUAAUACCGGAUAAUAUUUCGAACCGCAUGGUUCGAUAGUGAAAGAUGGCUCUGCUAUCACUUAUAGAUGGACCUGCGCCGUAUUAGCUAGUUGGUAAGGUAACGGCUUACCAAGGCAACGAUACGUAGCCGACCUGAGAGGGUGAUCGGCCACACUGGAACUGAGACACGGUCCAGACUCCUACGGGAGGCAGCAGUAGGGAAUCUUCCGCAAUGGGCGAAAGCCUGACGGAGCAACGCCGCGUGAGUGAUGAAGGUCUUCGGAUCGUAAAACUCUGUUAUUAGGGAAGAACAAACGUGUAAGUAACUGUGCACGUCUUGACGGUACCUAAUCAGAAAGCCACGGCUAACUACGUGCCAGCAGCCGCGGUAAUACGUAGGUGGCAAGCGUUAUCCGGAAUUAUUGGGCGUAAAGCGCGCGUAGGCGGUUUUUUAAGUCUGAUGUGAAAGCCCACGGCUCAACCGUGGAGGGUCAUUGGAAACUGGAAAACUUGAGUGCAGAAGAGGAAAGUGGAAUUCCAUGUGUAGCGGUGAAAUGCGCAGAGAUAUGGAGGAACACCAGUGGCGAAGGCGACUUUCUGGUCUGUAACUGACGCUGAUGUGCGAAAGCGUGGGGAUCAAACAGGAUUAGAUACCCUGGUAGUCCACGCCGUAAACGAUGAGUGCUAAGUGUUA